CUUGAGUACAGCAAAAGGAAUCCGAGUGUGCUGGUAAUCCGGUAGGAAGGGAGUAGAAUGGAUAUGUUUUUGCAGUUGAAAGGAAAAAGAACUCAUGGCGAAAAAAAUGAGUCCGAUUCGGAAGAGAAUGACGAGCCAUGGAGGAAAGACAAAUGUGGUAGGUCAACCGUAUGGAACUACUUUAAGCGCUUGCAAGAUGGAAACGAAAAAUGUAAACAAUGCGCUGGAAUAUAUAAAUCAUGUGGGAAUCCGACAAAUUUAUUCAACCACUUAAAACGUGCGCACCCAACAUUGAUGGACAAACCAAAGGCAGCUAAGACUUUGGAUGCUUACUACAAUGCUCAAGCUGGAAUACUCAUAUCAGAUAGACGAGCCUCCUUAAAGGCUAACAACGUAAACAAAUUGUUAUUUGCGGGCAGGAAUCAGUGGUUUCUGGAGCAAUAAAAGAA